rnacentral:sRNA from 4 species
UGUAUCUGAAGUCUGACGAGGAUGAGAACCUCCGGGGGCAAGAGGUUCGACUCGAGCGAAGCGAGAGAACGUUGCGUCAGCAAC